UACAACAUAGUGUUAAUGCAUCGGAUCCAAUUAGAAUUCUGCAGUUAAGCAUGCUCAGGCUAGAGUAGUAUUGGGAUGGGUGAUCGCUCAGGAAGUCCUAGUGUUUUAC
rnacentral:rRNA from 1 species